rnacentral:rRNA from 1 species
AGAGCCGUUGAAGACUACAACGUUGAUAGGUUGGAUGUGGAAGUGCAGUGAUGCAUGAAGCUGACCAAUACUAAUUACUCGUGAGGCUUGACUAUACAACACCCAAACAGUUG